rnacentral:rRNA from 1 species
CUGGCUCAGAACGAACGCUGGCGGCGCGUUUAAGCAUGCAAGUCGAGCGGCAAGGGCCUUCGGGCCCCUAGAGCGGCGGACGGGUGAGUAACACGUGGACAAUCUGCCCCCCGGCCCGGGAUAGCCCAGGGAAACCUGGAUUAAUACCGGAUGAGACGGGACCCGCGAUGGCGGGAUCCGGGAAAGGCGCUGCGGCGCCGCCGGGGGAUGAGUCUGCGUCCCAUUAGCUAGACGGCGGGGUAACGGCCCACCGUGGCGACGAUGGGUAGCCGGCCUGAGAGGGUGGACGGCCACAUUGGAACUGAGACACGGUCCAGACUCCUACGGGAGGCAGCAGCUAAGAAUCUUCCGCAAUGGGCGAAAGCCUGACGGAAGCGACGCCGCGUGAACGAAGAAGGCCGUGAGGUUGUAAAGUUCUUUUCGGGAGGGGGAACAACCGUGGCAGGGAAUGGCCGCGGGAUGACGUGAAUCCCGGAAUAAGCCCCGGCUAACUACGUGCCAGCCGCGGC